rnacentral:rRNA from 1 species
GUAUCAAUAAGCGGAGGAAAAGAAACUAACAAGGAUUCCCCUAGUAACGGCGAGUGAAGCGGGAAGAGCUCAAAUUUGAAAUCUCUAUAGCUUUGCGCUAUGGCGAAUUGUAGUUGAUAGAAGCAUUUUCGGAGUCAUACUAGAUCUAAGUCAUCUGAAAAGGUGCAUCAUAGAGGGUGAGAAUCCCGUAUGAGGUCUGGUGUUGGCUCUAUGUGAUAUGCUUUCUACGAGUCGGGUUGUUUGGGAUUGCAGCCCUAAAUGGGUGGUAAAUACCAUCUAAAGCUAAAUACUAGCAAGAGACCGAUAGCGCACAAGUA